UUGGGAAUCUUCCGCAAUGGGGGCAACCCUGACGGAGCGACACCGCGUGAAGGAUGAAGCCCUUUCUGGGCGUAAACUUCUGUUCUGAGGGAACAAAUUUUUGAGGGUACCUCAGGAGAAAGCACCGGCUAAUUCCGUGCCAGCAGCCGCGGUAAGACGGAAGGUGCAAGCGUUACUCGGAAUCACUGGGCGUAAAGCGUCUGUAGGCUGAUCAGUCAGUCUGGGGUGAAAGGUGGGAGCUCAACUCCCAUUGCGUCCCGGAAACUGCUGAUCUAGAGCAACUCAGAGGCACCUGGAAUGUCGUGUGUAGGGGUAAAAUCCGUUGAUACACGAUGGAACGCUAAAAGCGAAAGCAGGGUGCUGGGAGUUUGCUGACGCUCAGAGACGAAAGCGUGGGGAGCGAACGGGAUUAGAUACCCCUGUAGUCC
rnacentral:rRNA from 1 species